AUUGAACGCUGGCGGCAGGCCUAACACAUGCAAGUCGAACGAGCGGCGGACGGGUGAGAAAUGUCUGGGGAACUGCGUGAUGGAGGGGGAUAACUCCUGGAAACGGUAGCUAAUACCGCAUACCAUCAGAUGUGCGCAGAUGGGAUUAGCUCGUGGGGGGGGUAACGUCUCACCUAGGCGACGAUCCCUAGCUGGUCUGAGAGGAUGACCAGCCACACUGGAACUGAGACACGGUCCAGACUCCUACGGGAGGCAGCAGUGGGGAAUAUUGCACAAUGGGCGCAAGCCUGAUGCAGCCAUGCCGCGUGUGUGAAGAAGGCCUUCGGGUUGUAAAGCACUUUCAGCGGGGAGGCGUUACCCGCAGAAGAAGCACCGGCUAACUCCGUGCCAGCAGCCGCGGUAAUAC
rnacentral:rRNA from 1 species